CAAGUAAACCGGGUGACCGCUCUCUUUCUAUGGAAUGAGAGAGGAAAGUCCGAGCUCCACCGGGCAGGAUGCUGGGUAACACCCAGGAGGGGUGACCCUACGGAAAGUGCCACAGAAACAUACCGCCAGCGCAGCUGGAUACUCCAGUAGAUAGUGCGGGCAAGGGUGAAAUGGUGAGGUAAGAGCUCACCAGCAACUAGGUGACUAGUUGGCUGGGUAAACCCCAUCUGGAGCAAGACCGAAUAGAGGGACAUAAGGACGCCUGGCCUGUCCCUGGGUUGGUCGCAUGAUCCUGAUGGUAACAUUAGGGCUAGAUGGAUGGUCACUGUCCUCCCUAGUGGGAAGGAUACAGAACUCGGCUUACAGGUUUACUUGACCU
rnacentral:RNase_P_RNA from 1 species